CGACGUCUCGGUGGGGCAAGAAAGAGAUCGAAGCGCGCUCUCCCUGAACGGCCGCGUCAGGCUGCAGGUACGCAACCCUAGCAACCCCUGUAAGCAACUGGGGGACCGGAGGAGGACGGAGGUGAGUGGGUGAAGCACGAUUGAAGGCGAGCGAACCGCAAAGGUGCAAAUGCAGCCCAAGAUCAAACGCAAAAAUACACAAGGGAUCACCUACUUCGGCCUCGUAUGGAAGAAACACAAGAGUGACACAAGUGUUCUCAGGGCAGAAGAUGUUAUCCCUAGAAGCAAGAAUGGUGUAGUUUCGUCCAUGAGACCAACAUGCUGCCUCUGUGACAAGCCAUAUUCUCCAGACUUGAUGUACAUCCGCUGUGAGAGGUGCAGAAAGUGGUUCCAUGGAGAUGCCUUGAGACUUGAGGAGAAAAGGAUUAUUGAGAUCGUAUCUUACAGAUGCUGCAGAUGUCGGAGGAGGGCGAUACCAGGAUGUCCUCAUUCUGAUGAUUAUUAUUGCCCUGAACCAGAACCCAUCAUCCAAGAAAGUUCAGCCAAUAUUCCGUCAAGUGAGGACACAGCAGAUGAAGAUCCAUCAUUUGCUUCAUUUGGUAGAUUCAAACAAACUGUAAAAGAGACUAUUCAUGCCGAUUCCUCAGUGCACAUGGAAAGCUUUGUCCCGGGAAGUAAUCAAGAGAUGAACUUUGUGGAUGAUUCUUCACAUUCUGCACGUCCAUUUGACAAGGAGCCUAAGCCAUAUGAUGCAUGCUUUACAUGGUAUACACCUGGUAGUGGUACCUGCCGGCGAUUGGAUCCUGUGGAUGAUGUCCGCCCGCCAGUUCCCACAGCAAGGACCAGCUUUGGCAAAGACCAAACCACCACACUUCGCCGAGCUUAUGGUGGUUUUCGGGAGAUUGCUGCUGAGACUGGCUCAUUACAUGAGCGGGUAAGACAGGGAGACUAUAUCACCAAUGACGAGAUCAUGGGGACCUUGGACAAGCUUCAGCAAAUUGCUCUACGCCAUAUGAAAAAUAUUGCGUGCCAUGACGUAGUCUACCCCGAAUCAGAGGCCUCGGCGCAACCAAUGCACAACGCAAGCACCUCCACUACACGGCCAUCUGAUCACCAGAGUAGCUCUAGGACUCCAGCACCAGAUAGAAAUGGUACACUAUCAUAAUGAACUAUGCUAUCAAGUAAUUGACCCUGUCAGCAUGCAUACAUUCAAGAAAUCUGGGUAGUGUGCUUUCGUAGCUUAAAUGGCUAUGCUUUACUUUUAGAGCCAAAGGUGAUCGCUCAUCGAAGCAGCUUGCUCCAUGGGAUUGUACUUGAUGCAAACAAAAGCAGGUUUUUGUGGUGCGGCUGGAAAUGAACCAAUUUUUUUACAUCGACGCCAAUGUUUAAAAAAUGUCUGAUUCAAGUGAAUAUUCGGCCGAUUCGCCUGUUAAAUGUUAUCCACCAGCCGACAUUGAUUGAGGCCAUAUGACCCAGAUUAGUCCAUGCCACUUAUAUGGCAAAGAAACGACAUGUGCAUGCCCCAUUUUUUGUUUUGUUUUUGUGACUGAAUUCUAUUGAUCAUGCAAGCUAUUUGUUGCAA